GGCUUGUGAUUGGGUAACAUUACUCUUCAAGUACCUCAAAUACGAUAUUCGAUAGCACCUGGAUUAUUAUACUGCGUUCUCAUAAAGUUACUAUUUAUAAUAGAUGAGGUUCCACUGUUUUUACCAAUUGUUGCGCAAUCUGCGAAAAACACAAAAACAUGUCUCGAUGCUCCGAUAAUGUCGAAGAGAAUCUAAAUUAAAGAUAGGAGUCGCUAAGAGAGAGAAGGAAAGAGAGUGAAGAUAGAACUUGCUGAUCGGGACGCUAUUGCGCAGGUGUCAUGUUCUAGGAAAAAUGCUUGAAAUAAUAGAUGCUAAUAGUAUCAUCGAUUAUCUAAGUACGUCAGUAGGAUGAAAAGAUCUUGUUUAUCGAUAAAUAUGAUAAUAUUAGCUUCGAAAUAAGAAUCUUAACAAUAACGUUUCAAAUAUACGAAAGAGAGAGAAAGAGAGAGAGAGAGAAAAUACACUAGUGGAUUAGAUUGAUUUUAUUUUAUAAUUAAAUCACGAGACAAAUCAUGUAUGAAUUUGUGUAUACGCGCCCGCGUCAACGUUAAAAUUUUUCCUUUUAAUUCUACUGUUUUUUUUUUUCUUUUAUUACUGACCAUCACACAAGAUAACGUUAGUCACAUGUAUUUUGUAGCAAUAUGUAUAAAUGUGAAGCAAUAAAUUUGUAGUCUUGAUAACAGUCUUUAUGCAAUGAGUCACAAUGAGCUCAACGCAUACAAGGAAAUAUUUACAAUUUUCCAUAAAUAACUGAAAUUAGAUAAAAAAGCAGAAUAUUUAAAUUUAAUAACUAAAAAAUAAGAUAAUUUGAUACUUAUGACUCUGCAAAUAUAUUUCAUGCGAAGCUAUAAAAGUAUUAAUUAACAUAUCGCUACUGAAUUCAUAAAAACGUACAAGUCUUUACAUGUUUAAUUUAAAUAUUAUUAAUUAUUAAUUUAAUAAUUAAUUUAAUUAAAUUUUAUAAUUAAUUAAUUUUAUAAUUAUUCGCGUUAUCUUUUUUAUAUAAAGAUCAAGACUAGAGAACAAUACAACUGUUUGCAAACAUACUGACAAACCAAUGUAUCUUUUAAACAGUAAAUAACAUUAAAAUUGUUAUUAAGGA